UACAGAGGUCCCAAGCGUUGUUCGGAUUCACUGGGCGUAAAGGGUGCGCAGGUGGCAUGGUAAGUUUGGUGUGAAAGCUUCGGGCUUAACCCGGAAAUGGCAUUGAAAACUACUGUGCUGGAGGAUCGGAGGGGGGACUGGAAUUCUUGGUGUAGCAGUGAAAUGCGCAGAUAUCAGGAGGAACACCGGUGGCGAAGGCGGGUCUCUGGGCCGAUACUGACGCUGAGGAGCGAAAGCGUGGGGAGCGAACAGG
rnacentral:rRNA from 1 species